CAAGAACAGGAAAUGAGUGAUUCAGCAGGCUGGAUUUCACCCAAGGAGCUGUCUCCACAGCUGUAGAGAAUAGCUAAGAAAAGUUCCAGGGGACUUGCCUGGUACUGCUUGAAAGCAGUCGGACUGAGAACCAUAGAGAACUCUCUAGAGUGUGAUGAAGGUCAGUCGGAAAGCCCAGCUUUAUGUCAGAAAUCUGUCAGCCUGGUGCCCUUACUCCACUGAAUACCCUUUAACUCUUCUGCACCCACAUUUGGAGGUGAUCCAGGAUGACUCAGGGUUCAAGAGAGAAGGAGCAUCUCCCCAGGCAGGAAUGUCCAGGUGUUUGUUCUUCUCUGAGAGACUGAACAGAUGAUUUACCCCAGCAGCUGGCACUGCUGUGCUUUUUUCCAAAAUCUAAUAUCAGGCUGAUUAUCAGGCCCGAAUUGCCCUUUGUGCAGGGCUGGAGAUGCUCAGUUAGUUCAGAUUCAUUUGCUUCUUCUCUCUAUCAUCCUAAAGUGCACUCAGCCAACACCCAACUUGGCCUGUUAUUAUGUAAUGGGUCUAUGCGCACAGUUCUGUUGAGUACGCGGAGAACCAUUUGGAGGGACUUGCCCAGAGACCAAUCAAGUCCUCUUUAGUUGCUCUCCCUGUUUCCAGACUUGUCACACUCCCACCCAUUCCUUGCACAAUCCUCAGCUGAAUCUUUCUGAGACACUGUUUCCAUCAUGUCACUCCCCUGUUCAAAAAUCUCAGCUGUACCUUUAAUAUCUUUAUAGCAUCAGAUGGAUUUUGUUCCGGAUCUCGCUUGCAUUAGGUUGUAUUUUGUGCAUUUCUGAAGCUGCAUAUGACCUUUUCAAAACGAGCUGGAGUCUAAACGCAGGGACACAUACCUGUAUCAUAGCAACAAAAUAUUGAUUGGACUUUUUCUGUCAUUGACUACUUCUGUUCAAGGCCCUGAAUCAAGGACAAUUUUGGGAAAGAAAAAGAAAAGAAUUCUCAUUCAUGAACUAGAAUUGAUUUAGAAAUCUGAGUAUGGGUUUUAUUUGACAACAGAGGAUUUCUCCCUGAGAUGGGAAUGGAAUAUGUGCCUUUUACAAGAGUGGAGAGCCACUGCUGCCCAGGAGGGAAAAAAAAGCAACUCGAGAAGUCAUAACUCAUGUCCAAAGGCCUCUUGUGGCCAGAUGAAGUGGGAUCCAAGCUGCAAAGCCCCUCCACGGAUGCCCCCACUGUCCAAUCAGCAUCUGAAUGAGUAUACUCACACGCGUAAAGCUGAUUGUAAAAUAGAGGCUCUUGGUGUUGUUUUGUUUUAUGACAAAGGAAACCAAAAACGUCCCGUAUCAGUGUGUUUCCUGUGGGUACAAUUGCCCCCAAACAAUCCUGUGGUGGCUGGGAAAUGGCUGUUUACAAGAAGCUGAAAGAGCCAAAACUCUGAGGAAGUGUAAUUUGCAAUUAUUUGUCUGCUUUAUUUUGUGUAAAGAGUCUGGAAACACGAUUUUCAGCAUGGCUUGCAAAGCAUGUAUGGGCAAGUUUUAAGAGCAUAUUUGUACACCACCCCAGGCAUGUCUUUAUGGAUCCACGACUAAUAAUGAAUUUGCACACACCAUGCAGCAGAGACGCUAUGAAUCUUCUAUAAAGAUACAGACAUUUGAAAUGCCAAGCUUUGGAAACAACAGGAUUACAACCUUUGAAGAAAGAGAAUGGGUCUGGACUUAAGUCAUCCAUUGUGGCAUCAGAUAUCGGAUCACUAGGACAUAAACCUGUGGCUUACCUGUGAGAAGUCCAGAGUCAAUCAAUGUUCACACAUAGAGAAUUCCUUCUGCAUUACUUGAGUUAGACGAAGAUACUACACUCAGUGCUAGCUGCUUUUUGAAACCCUAAAACAUAUUCCUUUUGGCAGCAAAGUCCGGGGAAGAUGUUUUCGUGUGAUCUGUUACUAGAAUGUAAGGUUCUAGAGAGCAGAAAUGCAUUUAUACCCUGGUGCAGUCCUAACACCAAGAACAGUGCAUGAUACAUAGUAUAUGCUCAGUAAAUAUUCUAUGCAAUGCCUUCAAUUUAAAAUUUUCUGUUUUUAUUUUAACACUUAGUUCCUGCUUAUAAAUCAGUUCAUUAGAGAAAUUUGGAAAAAUUUUGAAACCUAAAGCAGGAUAUAAACAUUAUUGAUGAUACCACUAACUAGAGGUAAUCAUUAUAAACUUUUUUGGUGGUUAAUGUGUGAAUGUUUUUAUAAAAAUGGUUUGGUGCGUGUGUUUGUGCAUGUGUGUGCAAGCGUGUGCAUAUGUGUGUACACACGAGAAUCACUGAAUUUGUAUGCAUAAAGUUUUUGGCAACAUAUCAUGAGUAUUUCUCAUAUGUUUAAAUUCUUUGGAAUCAUCAUUGUUAGUGGUUAUAUAAUUUUCAAGCCUGUAGCCUUAUCAUAAUUUGUUGGGCACAUGCUCUAUUUGGGACAAUUCAGGUUGCCUUAUUUAGUCACUUUUGGUAAAAAUAAAUAAUACAAUUAUAGAUGUCCUUAUAUGUUAGUCUUUUGACAUCACUAAUUAUUCCCUUAGCAUAACUUCUCUUUGAAAUGGUUAUAGAAGUUUAUAGUGAAACAAAAAUUUUUGGGAAUUUCAUUCUACUUCACUCUUGAUAACAUCAAUUAUUCUUUUCCAGUUUCCAACUCUAUAAAAAAUAAUAUCUCAUUAUGUGUGAAUUUGAACUUUAUUUUUCAUUUGUAUGUAGCAACAUGUUUUCACAAAUGGAUAUUUUAAUUAAUUGAUUAUAUACGUUAUUUAUAUGUUUUGGGUAGUCUUUUUCUUAGUGACUUAUAAGAGCACUUUACAUAUUAUAGAUAGGAAGCAUUUAUCUUUUGCACAAAUUCUUCCCCUUUGCCAUUUCACCUUAAAUGUUCUUAAUGCUUUUGAUGCACAGAUUUACAUUUUUGUAUAUUCCAACACAUUAAAUUGUGAUUUAUUUUCUAGCUUUCAUUCCUACAAUGGUCUUUGUUAACUGGCAUCACCUAUGAUCAUUUCAUUUUAGUCCAUUUGUGGCUUUAUAUUUCAGGUAGGCUGAAUUUUUUAAAUCAAUUUAUAAUUUAUUUCAAUGUAAUUUCAGAAACUGAAUUUUAUCUUUUACCAGUCGUCUUGUUAUAAUUUAUCCAAUAAUGGCUUCUGUCCUCAAUUAUUUUGUAUACAAAUUUGAUGAUAUAUUAAAUUUUGUCCUUGAUUUCUUCAGUUAGAAUAUCCACCUCUUCGUA